CCUACGGGUGGCAGCAGUGAGGAAUAUUGGUCAAUGGACGAGAGUCUGAACCAGCCAAGUAGCGUGAAGGAUGACUGCCCUAUGGGUUGUAAACUUCUUUUAUAUGGGAAUAACAUGUUCCACGUGUGGGCUUUUGUAUGUACCCUAUGAAUAAGGAUCGGCUAACUCCGUGCCAGCAGCCGCGGUAAUACGGAGGAGCCGAGCGUUAUCCGGAUUUAUUGGGGUUAAAGGGGGCGUAGGUGGAUUGUUAAGUCAGUUGUGAAAGUUUGCGGCUCAACCGUAAAAUUGCAGUUGAUACUGGCAGUCUUGAGUACAGUAGAGGUGGGCGGAAUUCGUGGUGUAGCGGUGAAAUGCUUAGAUAUCACGAAGAACUCCGAUUGCGAAGGCAGCUCACUGGACUGCAACUGACACUGAGGCUCGAAAGUGUGGGUAUCAAACAGGAUUAGAUACCCCAGUAGUC
rnacentral:rRNA from 1 species